rnacentral:rRNA from 1 species
UACGAAGGGGGCUAGCGUUGCUCGGAAUUACUAGGCGUAAAGGGAGCGUAGGCGGACAUUUAAGUCAGGGGUGAAAUCCCGAGGCUCAACCUCGGAACUGCCUUUGAUACUGGGUGUCUUGAGUGUGAGAGAGGUGAGUGGAACUCCGAGUGUAGAGGUGAAAUUCGUAGAUAUUCGGAAGAACACCAGUGGCGAAGGCGACUCACUGGCUCAUUACUGACGCUGAGGCUCGAAAGCGUGGGGAGCAAACAGG